UACGGAGGAUGAGAGCGUUAUCCGGAUUUAUUGGGUUUAAAGGGUGCGUAGGCGGGCUUUUAAGUCAGCGGUAAAAUUCGGGGCUCAACCCCGUCCGGCCGUUGAAACUGGGGGCCUUGAGUGGGCGAGAAGAAGGCGGAAUGCGUUGUGUAGCGGUGAAAUGCAUAGAUAUCACGCAGAACCCCGAUUGCGAAGGCAGCCUUCCGGCGCCCUACUGACGCUGAGGCACGAAAGUGCGGGGAUCGAACAGG
rnacentral:rRNA from 1 species